ACUACAGCUGUAGGUAUCUCCUCACCACUAUAGUAGACAGCUGUAGGUAUCUCCUCACCACUAUAGUAGACAGCUGUAGGCAUCUCCUCACCACUAUAGUAGACAGCUGUAGGUAUCUCCUCACCACUAUAGUAGACAGCUGUAUGUAUCUCCUCACCACUACAGCUGUAGGUAUCUCCUCACCACUACAGCUGUAGGUAUCUCCUCACCACUAUAGUAGACAGCUGUAGGUAUCUCCUCACCACUAUAGUAGACAGCUGUAGGUAUCUCCUCAUCACUACAGUAGACAGCUGUAGGUAUCUCCUCACCACUAUAGUAGACAGCUGUUGGUAUCUCCUCAACACUACAGCUGUAGGUAUCUCCCCACCACUAUAGUAGACAGCUGUAUGUAUCUCCUCACCACUAUAGUAGACAGCUGUUGGUAUCUCCUCACCACUAUAGUAGACAGCUGUAGGUAUCUCCUCAUCACUAUAGUAAACAGCUGUAGGUAUCUCCUCACCACUACAGCUGUAGGUAUCUCCCCACCACUAUAGUAGACAGCUGUAUGUAUCUCCUCACCACUAUAGUAGACAGCUGUAGGUAUCUCCUCACCACUAUAGUAGACAGCUGUAGGUAUCUCCUCACCACUACAGCUGUAGGUAUCUCCUCACCACUAUAGUAGACAGCUGUAGGUAUCUCCUCAUCACUAUAGUAGACAGCUGUAGGUAUCUCCUCACCACUAUAGUAGACAGCUGUAGGUAUCUCCUCACCACUAUAGUAGACAGCUGUAGGUAUCUCCUCACCACUACAGCUGUAGGUAUCUCCUCACCACUAUAGUAGACAGCUGUAGGUAUCUCCUCAUCACUAUAGUAGACAGCUGUAGGUAUCUCCUCACCACUAUAGUAGACAGCUGUAGGUAUCUCCUCACCACUAUAGUAGACAGCUGUAGGUAUCUCCUCACCACUAUAGUAGACAGCUGUAGGUAUCUCCUCACCACUAUAGUAGACAGCUGUAGGUAUCUCCUCACCACUAUAGUAGACAGCUGUAGGUAUCUCCUCACCACUAUAGUAGACAGCUGUAGGUAUCUCAUCACCACUACAGCUGUAGGUAUCUCCUCAUCACUACAGUAGACAGCUGUAGGUAUCUCCUCACCACUACAGCUGUAGGUAUCUCCUCAUCACUACAGUAGACAGCUGUUGGUAUCUCCUCACCACUAUAGUAGACAGCUGUAGGUAUCUCCUCAUCACUACAGUAGACAGCUGUAGGUAUCUCCUCACCACUACAGCUGUAGGUAUCUCCUCACCACUAUAGUAGACAGCUGUUGGUAUCUCCUCACCACUAUAGUAGACAGCUGUAGGUAUCUCCUCACCACUACAGUUGUAGGUAUCUCCUCACCACUAUAGUAGACAGCUGUAGGUAUCUCCUCACCACUACAGCUGUAGGUAUCUCCUCACCACUAUAGUAGACAGCUGUAGGUAUCUCCUCAUCACUAUAGUAGACAGCUGUAGGUAUCUCCUCACCACUAUAGUAGACAGCUGUAGGUAUCUCCUCACCACUAUAGUAGACAGCUGUAGGUAUCUCCUCACCACUACAGCUGUAGGUAUCUCCUCACCACUAUAGUAGACAGCUGUAGGUAUCUCCUCACCACUAUAGUAGACAGCUGUAGGUAUCUCCUCACCACUAUAGUAGACAGCUGUAGGUAUCUCCUCACCACUAUAGUAGACAGCUGUAGGUAUCUCCUCACCACUACAGCUGUAGGUAUCUCCCCACCACUAUAGUAGACAGCUGUAGGUAUCUCCUCACCACUAUAGUAGACAGCUGUAGGUAUCUCCUCACCACUAUAGUAG